rnacentral:rRNA from 1 species
CGCGUAGGUGGUAGUGCAAGUCUGGGGUGGAAUCUUAGGGCUUAACCCUAAACUGCCUUGGAAACUGCAUUACUUGAGUCAGUGAGGGGAGGGUAGAAUUCCUGGUGUAGCGGUGAAAUGCGUAGAUAUCAGGAGGAAGGCCUGUGGCGAAGGCGGCCCUCUGGCGCUGAACUGACACUGAGGCGCGAAAGCGUGGGUAGCAAACAGGAUUAGAUACCCUGGUAGUCCACGCCCUAAACGGUGGGUACUAGGUGUAGGGCUCGUAAGGGUUCUGUGCCGAAGGGAAACCAUUAAGUACCCCGCCUGGGGAGUACGGCCGCAAGGUUGAA